UUCCCCCAUCUUUUCAUGGGAACUCAAACGCUACAGACCCGUCGCCCUCACGUCUCCUGUGAUGGUCCCCUCCGAGAGGUUAACAAUCAUUACUCUCUAACCCAGUCAGUGGGCGCUGGUGGGAGGAGAUAUAGGAGGACAGGCUCAUUGUAAUGGCUGGAACGGAAUCACUGGAACGGAGUCAAACAUGUGGUUUCCAUGUGUGUAUGAUACCAUUCCAUUGAUUCCCAAAACAAAACGAUGUACCCCUUUAGGUCUCCAGGAGCAAGAUUGAGAAACACUGUAACCCUCACCAACUCAGCCUCCAGAUUACUGGCACAGUUAAAGGUCAUUACGACCCCAGAGACAAAUCUUAGUACCUGAGAAGAGCCUGAUAAGACUGUCCCUUCUGCAACUCCCUACGUGUGACCUCUGUCGCGACCCCGACAAUACAGAAGUCUCUCACCAACUCAGCCUCCAGAUUACUGGCACAGUUAAAGGUCAUUACGACCCCAGAGACAAAUCUUAGUACCUGAGAAGAGCCUGAUAAGACUGUCCCUUCUGCAACUCCCUACGUGUGACCUCUGUCGCGACCCCGACAAUACAGAAGUCUCUCACCAACUCAGCCUCCAGAUUACUGGCACAGUUAAAGGUCAUUACGACCCCAGAGACAAAUCUUAGUACCUGAGAAGAGCCUGAUAAGACUGUCCCUUCUGCAACUCCCUACGUGUGACCUCUGUCGCGACCCCGACAAUACAGAAGUCUCUCACCAACUCAGCCAGGCAUUGAUUGCUUCUGUAUGCAAUAGCUGGUCCUUUCACUAUAUGCAUUGUCCCUGUCAAAUAAAUCAGCACCUAUUACAGACUACAUAAACUACACCAAAGAUGUCUGAUAUAAAGAACUAAUGCUUCUGACACAGUGCUAUAUAUGGAGUGGCAGGUAGACUAGUGCCAUAUAUGGAGUGGCAGGUAGACUAGUGCUAUAUAUGGAGUGGC